AGUGUGGGUGUUAUGUCCCUUUCUUGCUCCAUUAGGUUUGCCAAGGAACAAGGACAGAACAGCUGGCAAUCUCUCUGAAUUGUAGGUGGCAGUGGUGGCCAGUAUGUGGGCCUGACUUCUGGUCUGUAUGGUACCGACAAGGUUGCUGCUGUAUCUACUGGACUGCUGCCUGUGGAAAGCUGGGAGACAAAGGUAGUUAUGAGCACCAGUUAACAGCUGUAAUGGGUUGCCUUUAGCUAAACAGAUGCGAGGGGUGAAUUACAAAAAAGAGAGGGAAGGGAACAGCCGUAAAUGGGAGUGGUGCUUUGUCUCAGCCCCUCUCACUUGCAGUGUGCUUCUAGGGCUCCAUCUCUUUGGAUUACUAACUGCCGUGCCUACAAUACUUACCUGUUCCCUUUAGGGUUUUUCAGCUGAACUUUGUAUGCAGUGGCUAAAUGUUAAGCUCCACAGUGCCUGCUGCAAUAUUACAAGGCAAAAGGGAUUGUGAGUAUUUGACAAACGGUGGCAGUGGGGUAUUUGCUACUGCUGCACCAAGUGUCUGUUCUCAUAUUUACUUUCAGCAGUACAUGGUGAGGUCAUACCUGCACAUGGACAUCUAUGAGCAAAGAUUCCCUUUCCUACACAGCAUAUAAUAUACUCAAAUUUCUGGUAAAGAGUCUUGGGUGCCGAUUGAUGGCAUAUUUCCAAGGUACAAUGAUAGAGGAUGCUAAGAUGUGAUGAAAUGGACCCCUAAAGAGCUCCAGCGAACAUUAUUACAGAAUGGAAUUGUGCUGUAAAGUGCAUGCUGCAAUCCUUCAUGUACUUAUUGGUAGGAUGAAUUCACAAGAGUAAUUUUAAUGCACUACUCCAUGCAUACAGGCCAGAAUACAUCUAUAUGACUAGAUCUAUGUUCAUUUACAAGUAAAUUAGUUUCAUGUAGAAUUGGAAGAUGACUUCUUUUUAAGUUCUACUGGGAUAAGAGCUCAGAAUAAUGUGAACGCUUACAUGUUCCAUCACUGUCAUGAUGUCAGGGAUGGGUUGUCGACAGUUAUCUGAGAUGAAUCAGGAGCCAGGAGGUGAACCAAGGAAUUGGAGCUGGGGAGCAAGCCAGAAGUCAGGGCUGAGGACAAAGCAAAAGUCAGGGCCAAUCAGCAAUCAAAAGAACCCACAGGAAUGCACUUGAGCCAGGAAGACAUGGUUGUGCAGGCACGACCUAACUUAAGCAGGACCUCCUUUCAUAGUACUUCAUGUACAGGAGGGUCCAAUGGACAACUUGGGUGGGCUACCCCAGGUAAGCUGUCCAGGAAGAUGCUCCAGCUGCAGAGAUGUGCAUGCUUUCCUGUUUGAGACCUGGCAGCUCUUGCCAUACAGGCAAGCUGAGUCAAAUACUUCUCUCUAGCAAUGUUGAAGCUCUGUCCUCAGAUGUAACAUGAUUAGGACGGGUGUUUAAUACUGACAUUGCAGUAGCAGCGAUCAGUAACAAGAGGUUCACAUUUGGUAUUCAGGAGGUAUCAUUGAGUCCUCCUUCUUAACAACCUACAAAUGCAAAAAGUGUAAUAUUGUGUCAAUAAAAUUUGGCAGCAAGCCAUUGGGGGGAGGACAGCAUGUGUUAUUUUGGCCCAGUAGCAAACCUAGCCACUCACCAGGGCACAGUAGAUAUAUUAUCUUAAUGCUGGAGGCCACCUCUUAGAGCUUAUUAUUUCUGGCAGGCUCUAAGGCACUUUACCCCUUUAGAUUUGUGUAAUAUACACUUCCCAUAAAAGACACUUGAAUUUCCGCUUUAAAUGGCUUAUGCCAACUAAUCCACCUUCCCUGGCUUUAAUCUCACAUGCUCACAACUGAAUGCACCAGUGAUGGGCAGAUUGGUACCCAACCCAAUCUCUGAAGCAAUGUUAAUGAGCAGCAUACCACUGAAGCUUUUUGAGACUCGGCUGUUGCUAUGGGGAUGGAGAAAAUCUGGCAGGAGCCACCACAACAGGUUUAUAGUAACCGGAAACUUUUCAGUUUGCAGGGUGCCUAAUCCUUGCGUCCAGGAAGUUCUGUAUGGGCCACAGAGUUGUGCUUUUGCUGGUAGCUCGAUUAGUCACAACACAAAGAUGACUGCAGUUCACCAACCCUCUUGUAUGAAGCAGAAUGACACAUCCUUUGCUGUCUGUUUAGGUAAAACUCUCUCAACCUUCAAAGGAGCUACAUUGUUUUUUGAGCCAUUUCUCUUAAUCCUGUGUUCAGACACUGUUUUGGAAACUUCAUUGUCAAUCACAUUUCAGUUGCAAUAUACACAAAAGCUUCCAUAGCUUUUGCAAUCAUUUUGGGAGGACAUGUCAUGGCAACAAUCAACAGACUGAGAAAGAAAUGCACCCCAGGCCUCAUUCCCAGGUGGCUUGGUCUUCCCAGUAGGGAUGCUGAAGAAUUUGCUGUUUGUGAAUUGUGAUAGAGACUGAUCUGCAGUCUCUACGUGACAUCAUUGUUAAAACAGCUGCACUGGCUGCCUAUCUGCUGCUGAACCAGGUUCAAGGUUCUUGCGUUCAUUUACAAAGCCCUGAAUACCUCCACGAUACCUCAGAGGUCACCUUAACCUUUAUAUCCCAGCUCAGGCACUGAGAUCAUCUGUGGAAGCAUCUCUGGUCAUUCCAUGAGUUGGUGAGGCUCAUUUCACAGCAACCAGAAACCGAGUCUUUAGUGUCAUCAGCCCAGCCCUGUGGAACACCCUGCUAAUAGAGAUUCAGCGGGUGCCUUCUGUGCCAACUUUUAAAUGCCAGCUGAAAACUUUUCUAUUCCUCCAGCCUUCACAGGAGACCUGUUUCCAGAAGAAGAACUGUUGGAGGAGAGAGACUUGGAACUGGCCAUUGGGCAAUGGCUUUUUCCACCUGUCUUGCCCCACCCUCCAGCCCUAGGAGCCUUCAGAACGGAGUUGCUGUCCUGGGCAUUAUGUGUCAGUGUCUUGAUGAACUGAGUAGAACAUUGCUUAGUAUUUUUUUGUGGAUUGCGCCAUCACCUCUCAGGUGGGCAACAUUGCUGGUAUAAGAGAACAAGGGAGAUGUUCACUGUGAGCUCUCACACCUCUUUUUCUAGAAAAAUAGCACUGGCUGUAAUGCUUUGAUAAUCUUAUAAUAGGACUUUUGUUGUGGUUGUGCUGUUUAGCUUUUUAAGAGUUUUUUUAAAUAGUGUUUUAUGGAGUGUGGUUGUUUUACUGGUGGUUUGUUAAUUAUUAUUCAUGAUUCAUUUUGUAUUUGAGAUGUUCUACUAUGUUGUUUGUGAGUUGCGUUGUGAUUUUUGUGAGUGAAAAGCAGCAUAGAAAUAUAACAAAUAAAAUGAAAGGCUUAUGCAGGCAAUUAAGACCACUCCUCUACAAUUGCUUACUGAUGUUUUAUUGUAUUGCUUUUAACUUGUUUGUAACUUUAUGGUUUUACUGUCUGGUUUUAUGUUUUUAUGUUGCUGAAAAUCACUGUGAUAUAUUUUUUAUGAUAUUGCGGUAUACAGAUAGGUUUAUAAGUAUAUAAGCUGUUAGGAGGUCAGGUGUGUGCCUUCACAGCACAACACAAUCCAUUACCGAUUUGGAAAUUCUCCAAUGGCUAUUGUGUUUCCCAAAUGUUUCAAUGCAGUUCUUAGCUCAUAUAUAUAUAUCAAAUUGUAUAUUUUGACAGGCGAAACUUUGUUUAGUACACUUAUUUAAUGUAGUCUCUCUCAAAAUAAGCAUUUCUAAAAGUAUCAUUUUGUACUUCUCUAGUUACUAAACAUCUGCAAAUGGUUACACUUAACAAAGAUUGUUUGAGUCUGUAAAAAUGGUUGUUUUUGCUAGCAGCAAGCUUUAUCAAAAGUAGGCAACAAGACUAGCUUUUUAUUACUUUUGUAUAACAAAAGUUUAGAAAGCCUUCCAUAAAUGUAUUUUAAAGAUAGCAUGGUUACAGUUUCAAGAAUGCAUAACAUGUCAGGUGAGUGAAAUGGAUUUUUUAUUGUUCCUGUAAGGACAUUAUCAUUCUCCUACAGCAAAAAUUAUUCUGAUGCAGGGAACUCUGUGAAACUUGCAUGUGGUUCUUCACUGUGAUCACUAUGCACACAUAAGUAUCUGCAGCAUGUAUCUUAAAUUUGUUUCACACAGUGCUCUUUUGGGGAUGGUGUAUUCACAAAGCAAAUUUCAGAUGCAGUAGAAAUCUGUUAUUUGUGAGAAUAGAUAGAAAAGAGAAACAACAGAAUCCCUGCUUACCUAAUACAGACAUGUCUUGGAACUUCUCAGGGGGGGGGGCAUUUUUAAAAUUAUGACACAGUUCCUUUCUUCUUUGGAGAGAAACCUUAAAUGUAAAAAAAUAAAAAUUCCAGAAUGUAA